rnacentral:tRNA from 1 species
AGCUCGGUACUUUAAGUAAAAAGGCGAGAUUUGCAUUUUCGUAAUGAGUAAUACUCUCGAGCU